CAGUAGCCGCGGGAAUACGGAGGGAGCUAGCGUUGUUCGGAAUUACUGGGCGUAAAGCGCACGUAGGCGGUUAUUCAAGUCAGAGGUGAAAGCCCAGUGCUCAACACUGGAACUGCCUUUGAAACUAGAUAACUUGAAUCCAGGAGAGGUGAGUGGAAUUCCGAGUGUAGAGGUGAAAUUCGUAGAUAUUCGGAAGAACACCAGUGGCGAAGGCGGCUCACUGGACUGGUAUUGACGCUGAGGUGCGAAAGCGUGGGGAGCAAACAGGAUUAGAUACCCCGGUAGUCCCUGUCUCUUAUAA
rnacentral:rRNA from 1 species